ensembl:snRNA U6 U6 spliceosomal RNA
GUGCUUAGUUCAGCAGCACAUGUACUGCAUUUGGAAUGACACAGGGAAGAAUAGUGUGGCACCUGUACAAGGAUAAUAUGCAAAUUUGUGAAGCAUUCUAUUAAAUA